rnacentral:rRNA from 1 species
CCAGACUCCUACGGGAGGCAGCAGUGGGGGAUAUUGCACAAUGGGGGAAGCCCUGAUGCAGCGACGCCGCGUGGGCGAAGAAGUAUUUCGGUAUGUAAAGCCCUAUCAGCAGGGAAGAAGAAAUGACGGUACCUGAGUAAGAAGCACCGGCUAAAUACGUGCCAGCAGCCGCGGUAAUACGUAUGGUGCAAGCGUUAUCCGGAUUUACUGGGUGUAAAGGGAGCGUAGACGGCAUGGCAAGUCAGAUGUGAAAGCCCGGGGCUCAACCCCGGGACUGCAUUUGAAACUGUCAGGUUGGAGUGCAGGAGAGGUAAGUGGAAUUCCUAGUGUAGCGGUGAAAUGCGUAGAUAUUAGGAGGAACACCAGUGGCGAAGGCGGCUUACUGGACUGUAACUGACGUUGAGGCGCGAAAGCGUGGGGAGCAAACAGGAUUAGAUACCCGAGUA